UAAGAUCAAGUGUAGUAUCUGUUCUU
rnacentral:piRNA from 7 species